CUCCCAAACCCCUGUGAACAUACCUUAUGUUGCCUCGGCGGAUCAGCCCGCGCCCCGUAAAAAGGGACGGCCCGCCGCAUGAACCCUAAACUCGGUUUUUAGUGGAACUUCUGUGUAUAAAAAACAAAUAAAUCAAAACUUUCAACAACGGAUCUCUCGGUUCUGGCAUCGAUGAAGAACGCAGCAAAAUGCGAUAAGUAAUAUGAAUUGCAGAAUUCAGUGAAUCAUCGAAUCUUUGAACGCACAUUGCGCCCGCCAGUAUUCUGGCGGGCAUGCCUGUUCGAGCGUCAUUUCAACCCUCAAGCCCAGCUUGGUGUUGGGCGCUGCAGUCCUGCUGCACUCCCCAAAUACAUUGGCGGUCACGUCGAGCUUCCAUAGCGUAGUAAUUUACACAUCGUUACUGGUAAUCGUCGCGGCCACGCCGUUAAACCCCAACUUCUGAAUGUUGACCUCGGAUCAGGUAGGAAUACCCGCUGAACUUAAGCAUAUC
rnacentral:rRNA from 1 species